UACGUAGGGGGGCAAGCGUUGUCCGGAUUUAUUGGGCGUAAAGAGCGUGUAGGCGGUUUGGUAGGUCCGUUGUGAAAACUCGAGGCUCAACCUCGAGACGUCGGUUGAAACCGUUUGGCUAGAGUCCGGAAGAGGAGAGUGGAAUUCCCGGUGUAGCGGUGAAAUGCGCAGAUAUCGGGAAGAACACCCGUGGCGAAGGCGGCUCUCUGGGACGGUACUGACGCUGAGACGCGAAAGCGUGGGGAGCGAACAGG
rnacentral:rRNA from 1 species